AUGGAUGAUGAGGCGCAGGAGACUCCAAAUGUUGGUGAUCUUCCCAAGAAGGCCCCCAAGGUGAUGAAUUGGACUCCACCCAUGUCUGCGUUGAUGUUGAAAGGCCUUUCAGAGGUGGCGGCAAGAGGUGCCAAGACUGAAAAAGGAUUCAAUGAGGUAAGUGUCUUCAGAGAACAAAUUCUCCAACUUGCUGGGAUUGCUUGUCAUGAAGAGGAGGGAAAAUCACGGACAGAGCUACUGGAGAAGCUCAAAACAUGUAACAAGGUUAUGCUAGUUGAACUGUGCCGUUCAUUUGAUGUCCCUGGUUCAACAAGCACUAAGAAGGAUGAAUUAGUGACAAUAGUGAUGGAGUUCUUGAUGGAACACUGUUCUGGUAUUAUUUACACAGAUCCUGAUAAGGCUCAACUUCUUAGCUGCCAGAAAUUUAAGAAAAGAAAGCGCAAGAAGAAUGGAGCGGAUCUAUCUGGUGGUGAACCUUCCAAGAAAAGGAAACCAGAUGGAACUCUACUGGAAUUUUGUAGUCAAGAGGAAGCAGAUGGGAGAAAAGCUGUAGAAGAUAGAACAAACCAUUCCGAGUUCAGCUUGAGGGAUAGCAGAGAUGAGCUGGUAAAUGACUCCGCGUUGGGGAAAUUAGCUGUAGUUCCACUGCCAGGAGUACCGUUUCCUACAGAUGAACAAACGCUAAUCACAACACCAUCUGCAAAGUUAUUUAGCAAUGUUGAGAAUGAUACCAUGGAUAUGGCGGCUUCAAUGAAGAAAAACAUUUCUGUUACCAAGAAAAAGGCAAUCCAAAACACAGAUUCCAAGGAGAAAUCUGGUGGUAAAACUAUGUCUAGAGGAGAUGCGAAACCAUGGAAGCAGGCACCGAAACCAAGUAAGGAUGAGCUGAGACAGGCUGUCUCCUGUAUAUUGGGUGCUGCAAAUUUUGCCACGAUGACUUUUGGAGAGGUUGUAAAAGCAGUUGACAAAUACUUUGGCAAGGAUUUGUUUGAGAGGAAGCCGCUGGUAAGGGCCUUGAUAGAGGAGGAGCUGUUUAGGCUAGCCAAGGAGGCUGAGAGGAAGGAAGUGGAAGAGGAGGAAGCAAUGGAAGCAAAAGUAAAAGCUGCCAAGGACAGCGCAAGGGAUGGAAGAGUUGAAUCAGACAUAGACAAGGAGGAAUAUGAAGUUGAAGCUGGUCCAGAUGGUAAAUCUAAGGAUGCUGAAAAGAUUGGCAACAGCAAGAGUAGUGAUAAAGGUGGUAAAAGUGGGAUUUGUGUGAAGGCUGGCGAGAAGGGAAAUAGCAACGCUGCUGCCGCUGAAAAUUUACAAGAUGGAAAGUCCGAAGUUGACGACACAAGGAAGAAAGAAUUUAGCAAGGAUUGCGAGGCUGAAAAGAUUGUGCAGAAUGCAAAUGGCGAUGGUGGCAUGGAAAUGUUGAGGGAUGGUGAAGCUGAAACUGGGAAUAAUUGCAACGGUAACACCAUAGGAGGUUCUGGAGAAAAAGAUGACACUACAGAUGGCAGAUGUGAAGAAGGCAGGGCUGAAAAAGAUGCAGAAAAUGCUGGUGACUGUGAACCUGAAGAAUCUGAAACUAAUGAACCAGAAGCAGAAGUAAAAGAUGUGAAAUCUAAGGAAGCCAGUGGCAAUGAGAUUACCCUAUCCCAUGGUGCUAACUAA
rnacentral:rRNA from 1 species